GUCACAGGGACAGAUGGAGGGGCCCCCACAGUGUGAGUGAGCGAUGGAGCCACGUGCCCAGGACACUGGGACGCCCGAGCCAGGUGCCCAAGCCCGCCCUCUCCCGGCCACACCCUGGGAUACACGCUUGUAGCAGGAGGGCCAGGCCGAGGUCCAGGGCGUGGUUCUACCUCACCAAUUAGAAUCUCCUGGAACACUAAGGCGAGUUCCUGCUUGGACAAAGGGAUGAAAGGUUGGGUUUUUAAUCCAAAGUGAAAGAUUUCCUUUUUAAUUGACACAAGGAACGGCACAAACCACAGACACUGGGCGAUUCACGCAGACGCACAAAGAGGUGGCACAGGUGUCGCGUUUGGCAGGAGUCGCCACAGAAGUCGCCACUACUCUCCUUUCUGCUUCACAUUUUUCCAGGGUGUCUGAGGGACGCUGUGUCAUCUGUAGCAGAACAGAAGCAGAGGAUGGCCUGUGCAGACCCUGGCACGGCCCAGGCAGGCGGCCGGCUCUCCUGCGGCUGCCAUGCUCAGUGCCACCCGCCCACCAUGAUCCCGGCAUCGAGUGGACGCGGGCAAGCGCUUUCGGAAAGAAGACAUGACGGAACGAAGGCUGCAGACACAGACACGCCGCGAGGGUAGGUUGGAAGGGUCCCCAGGCCCGGUGCCCUCAGGGAACGUGGCUCCCUCCCUCCCCGCGGUCCCCAGCCCC
rnacentral:lncRNA from 1 species